AAAUAUGAUUUUUUUUCUGUAAAUAUUUUAUGCAAAUUUAACUUUUAAUAGAUUUUAUGAAUUAUCUUUUAUAAUGAAAGACAUGUUUUCAAGGCCGUAUCUUGACCUUUUAUGGUUUACUUUUACAAAUUGUGACUUUGAUAAACAUGAUGAAGAGUUGUCUCAUUGACAGUCAUACCACAUCUUCUAUAUCUUUUAUUUAGAGGAAAAAAACACAUAUGUAAGAAUAAAUAAUAUCCUAAUAGUUUUGACAAGUGCAUUAAUAAUUGACAUUACCAGACCAGUAUAUUAGUAUCCCCACUCAGAUAAAUGGUUUGAUCUGGUCUCCUAUAUCAACCUGAUGGUAGUAAAUUGUACCAGUUGAUAUAGAUUAAGCUAACUAGUAAAAAGUAUGAAUGUUCACUGACUAACAUCAAAUACAGAAGUUGUGAAAAAUGGUUCAAUAAUAUUACAGGGUGUGUUAAAUUAUUGUUGCAUUUUAUUUGAUUACCGAAAGUCUUCCUAUUGUUUUAAAUAUUAUUUAGUUUAUCUUGUUAAAUCAUUAAAAACUUUGUUGUAUAUGAAAUUUUAACAUACACGUAAAAGAGAGAAGAGGAAAGUUAAUAAAAUACUAAACAAUA
rnacentral:lncRNA from 1 species